ensembl:miRNA
AGGUUGGUGCAAAAGUAAUUGCAGUUUUUGCCAUUACUUUUACUAGCAAAGACAGCAAUUACUUUUGCACCAACUUAAUA